rnacentral:rRNA from 1 species
UGGGGAAUUUUGGACAAUGGGGGAAACCCUGAUCCAGCCAUCCCGCGUGUGCGAUGAAGGCCUUCGGGUUGUAAAGCACUUUUGGCAGGAAAGAAACGUCAUGGGUUAAUACCCCGUGAAACUGACGGUACCUGCAGAAUAAGCACCGGCUAACUACGUGCCAGCAGCCGCGGUAAUACGUAGGGUGCAAGCGUUAAUCGGAAUUACUGGGCGCAAAGCGUGCGCAGGCGGUUCGGAAAGAAAGAUGUGAAAUCCCAGAGCUCAACUUUGGAACUGCAUUUUUAACUGCCGGGCUAGAGUGUGUCAGAGGGAGGUGGAAUUCCGCGUGUAGCAGUGAAAUGCGUAGAUAUGCGGAGGAACACCGAUGGCGAAGGCAGCCUCCUGGGAUAACACUGACGCUCAUGCACGAAAGCGUGGGGAGCAAACAGG